rnacentral:rRNA from 1 species
GACGAACGCUGGCGGCGUGCCUAAUACAUGCAAGUCGAGCGAAGUUUUUCUGGUGCUUGCACCGGAAAAACUUAGCGGCGAACGGGUGAGUAACACGUAAAGAACCUGCCUCAUAGACUGGGACAACUAUUGGAAACGAUAGCUAAUACCGGAUAACAGCAUUAACUGCAUGGUUGAUGUUUAAAAGUUGGUUUUGCUAACACUAUGAGAUGGCUUUGCGGUGCAUUAGCUAGUUGGUGGGGUAAAGGCCUACCAAGGCGACGAUGCAUAGCCGACCUGAGAGGGUGAUCGGCCACACUGGGACUGAGACACGGCCCAGACUCCUACGGGAGGCAGCAGUAGGGAAUCUUCCGCAAUGGGCGAAAGCCUGACGGAGCAACGCUGCGUGAGUGAAGAAGGAUUUCGGUUCGUAAAGCUCUGUUGUUAGGGAAGAAUGAUUGUGUAGUAACUAUACACAGUAGAGACGGUACCUAACCAGAAAGCCACGGCUAACUACGUG